rnacentral:rRNA from 1 species
UAGGGAAUCUUCCACAAUGGACGAAGGUCUGAUGGAGCAACGCCGCGUGAGUGAAGAAGGGUUUCGGCUCGUAAAACUCUGUUGUUAAAGAAGAACAUAUCUGAGAGUAACUGUUCAGGUAUUGACGGUAUUUAACCAGAAAGCCACGGCUAACUACGUGUCAG